GGUGGUUCUCGGGUGAUGCACCCCAGAAUCAGGCUCCCUCCUCUCUGGUUCCAGGUGCGUCACCCGAGAACCACU
rfam:Myotis lucifugus cont2.64379, whole genome shotgun sequence.